rnacentral:rRNA from 1 species
CCUAAUACAUGCAAGUCGAACGCACUCUCGUUUAGAUUGAAGGAGCUUGCUCCUGAUUGAUAAACAUUUGAGUGAGUGGCGGACGGGUGAGUAACACGUGGGUAACCUGCCCUAAAGUGGGGGAUAACAUUUGGAAACAGAUGCUAAUACCGCAUAAAACCUAACACCGCAUGGUGUAGGGUUGAGAGAUGGUUUCGGCUAUCACUUUAGGAUGGACCCGCGGUGCAUUAGUUAGUUGGUGAGGUAAAGGCUCACCAAGACCGUGAUGCAUAGCCGACCUGAGAGGGUAAUCGGCCACACUGGGACUGAGACACGGCCCAGACUCCUACGGGAGGCAGCAGUAGGGAAUCUUCCACAAUGGACGAAAGUCUGAUGGAGCAACGCCGCGUGAGUGAAGAAGGUUUUCGGAUCGUAAAACUCUGUUGUUGGAGAAGAAUGUAUCUGAUAGUAACUGAUCAGGUAGUGACGGUAUCCAACCAGAAAGC